CUUCGAUCAGCGGCGGACGGGUGAGUAAUGCCUAGGAAUCUGCCUGGUAGUGGGGGACAACGUUUCGAAAGGAACGCUAAUACCGCAUACGUCCUACGGGAGAAANCNNNGGACCUUCGGGCCUCGCGCUAUCAGAUGAGCCUAGGUCGGAUUAGCUAGUUGGUGAGGUAAUGGCUCACCAAGGCGACGAUCCGUAACUGGUCUGAGAGGAUGAUCAGUCACACUGGAACUGAGACACGGUCCAGACUCCUACGGGAGGCAGCAGUGGGGAAUAUUGGACAAUGGGCGAAAGCCUGAUCCAGCCAUGCCGCGUGUGUGAAGAAGGUCUUCGGAUUGUAAAGCACUUUAAGUUGGGAGGAAGGGCAUUAACCUAAUACGUUAGUGUUUUGACGUUACCGACAGAAUAAGCACCGGCUAACUCUGUGCCAGCAGCCGCGGUAAUACAGAGGGUGCAAGCGUUAAUCGGAAUUACUGGGCGUAAAGCGCGCGUAGGUGGUUUGUUAAGUUGGAUGUGAAAGCCCCGGGCUCAACCUGGGAACUGCAUCCAAAACUGGCAAGCUAGAGUACGGUAGAGGGUGGUGGAAUUUCCUGUGUAGCGGUGAAAUGCGUAGAUAUAGGAAGGAACACCAGUGGCGAAGGCGACCACCUGGACUGAUACUGACACUGAGGUGCGAAAGCGUGGGGAGCAAACAGGAUUAGAUACCCUGGUAGUCCACGCCGUANACGAUGUCAACUAGCCGUUGGAAUCCUUGAGAUUUUAGUGGCGCAGCUAACGCAUUAAGUUGACCGCCUGGGGAGUACGGCCGCAAGGUUAAAACUCAANNNAAUUGACGGGGGCCCGCACAAGCGGUGGAGNAUGUGGUUUAAU
rnacentral:rRNA from 1 species